rnacentral:rRNA from 1 species
AUGCAGGGCGCCCCCGAGAGGAGGAGCAGGGCUUCGCCUGAAAAGGCCAACGAGAGCUCUAAUAAGGCGCGGCUGGACCUUCCCGACGGCCACAUGAAGCAAGAGGCGGCCGGUGGAGGAGAUGGAGGCACCAUCGUUGGGGCGGCGUACAUCCAGCGAGUGGAACUCGCCGUGAGGAUCUACAAGCAAGUCCUCCACUGCCCCCUGUGCACCCUCCCCUUCAAGCCUCCGUGCAAAGCGGGGCACUCGGCUUGUGGCGGCUGUGUUGCCCUGCUGCCCUUCGGGCAGUGCAAGGCAUGCAUGGACGGCGGCGGUUUCUUUGACCCCUGCCCUGCGCUGGACGCCGUGGUGUCCUCCACCAGGAUCAGGUGCCCCAACGCCGGCUGCCAGUGGUACGUGACCUACCAUGAGGUCGCCGAGCACCAGAAAGCAUGCCCGCACGCGCCUUGCCGGUGCAUUGAGCCUGGUUGCGGCUACGUCAGCGCGCCGCAGUCGCUCGCCGGUCACCUCCAUACUGUCCACUUGGUGCCGGUGCGUGAUGUGCAGUAUGGCAAGGUCAUCAAGCUAAAUCUACCGGUGUCGACCAGGUGGAUGGUGCUCCUCGGCGACGACAACUGCGUGUUCCUCAUGAUCGUGGGCGCGCUCGCUGCCGGCGUGACCGCCGUGUCUGCGGUGUGCGCCAGGGCGAGAGCGGUGGCGCGACCGCGGUUCAUGUGUAAGAUGUGGGUCAACCUGGAGACACCCUUGGUAGCAGUGGCGAACUGCGGCAAGGAGGACAUGGUGCUCGUGGACAUGCACAUGAGGAGUAGCUCAACGCCCGGCGCCGUGGUCAUUGCGGGCGAGCCCACGUUCCUGACGGUGCCGCCAAUGUACCUGGUGCCAGCAGCAGGAGACAGAGCAUCCAUGGAAGUUCCCCUGCACAUCCGCAUCGAUAAGCUCUCCCCUUGGUCUGAAACAUUGGUGUGA